UCCAUUCUCAUUUCAACCUCUGGGCUUUGCAUGUCAGAGCAUGCGACCCUGAGGAACCAGUGUCUGAGCAAAGACAAGGUUAUUACUGCCACAUGAAAAUGAUGUAACCUGGACAUCAGGCUCUGGGGAACAGAAGGCAAGUCAGAUGGGUCAAUAGAUGGUGACAAAACACGGAGGUCAAUAGGUUGAAGAUCCUGAUAAACUGGAGAGCUAUGAGGUUUGUAAGACUAAAUGCUGUGUUUCUGAAACUCCUGCAACUGGAGAGAUGAUUCUGUCCCUGGGUGUGAUUUAAGUGCUCCCGAUGAAAAGCGCUGUCAUGAGAUUUAAGAGGUGGAAGGGUGGGAAGCCCCCAUGUGGGCUCAUCAGGAGCUCUGAUAGACUGGGGGUCUGCAAGGGCCAGACUCCAUGUUCCUCUGUCUAUCCCCAGCCUCCCGGGUGUCAGUUGAGAGGGCAGCAGUCUCCUGACCAAUGGAUUGA
rnacentral:lncRNA from 1 species